rnacentral:rRNA from 1 species
GAUUAACGCUGGCGGCGUGCCUAACACAUGCAAGUCGAGCGGCAGCGAGUUUUACACUGACUUCUGGAAGCUUCUAGUUGAAAGAGAAGAUUUAUUCAAGAAUUUUGUGUAAAAUGUCGGCGAGCGGCGGACGGCUGAGUAACGCGUGGGAACGUACCCCAAAGUGAGGGAUAACGCAUCGAAAGGUGUGCUAAUACCGCAUAUGGUCUUCGGAUUAAAGCCUUCGGGCGCUUUGGGAACGGCCUGCGUAGAUUAGAUAGUUGGUGGGGUAAUGGCCUACCAAGUCGACGAUCUUUAACUGGUUUGAGAGGAUGAUCAGUCAGACUGGAACUGAGACACGGUCCAGACUCCUACGGGAGGCAGCAGUGAGGAAUCUUCCACAAUGGGCGAAAGCCUGAUGGAGCAACGCCGCGUGCAGGAUGAAGGCCUUCGGGUUGUAAACUGCUUUUAUAAGUGAGGAUUAUGACAGUAACUUAUGAAUAAGGAUCGGCUAACUACGUG